rnacentral:rRNA from 1 species
UACAGAGGGUGCGAGCGUUAAUCGGAAUUACUGGGCGUAAAGCGUGCGUAGACGGUUAUUUAAGUCGGGUGUGAAAGCCCCGGGCUCAACCUGGGAAUUGCAUUCGAGACUGAAUAGCUAGGGUACGGUAGAGGGAAGUGGAAUUUCCGGUGUAGCGGUGAAAUGCGUAGAUAUCGGAAGGAACAUCAGUGGCGAAAGCGACUUCCUGGACCAGUACCGACGUUCAGGCACGAAAGCGUGGGGAGCAAACAGA